ACUCAAAGGAAUAGACGGGACCCCGCACAAGCAGAGGAGCGUGCUGUUUAAUUCGAAGAUACACGAAAAACCUUACCAAGGCUUGACAUUUAGUGCAUAGCGUGGAAACACGUGAAAUCCGAAAGGACACUAGGACAGAUGAUGCAUGGUUGUCGUCAGCUCGUGUCGUGAGAUGUUGGGUUAAGUCCCGCAACGAGCGCAACCCUCGCCAGAAGUUGCUAACAUUUAGUUGAGAACUCUUCUGGGACUGCCGCGGAUAACGUGGAGGAAGGUGGGGAUGAUGUCAAAUCAUCACGUCUCUUACGUCUUGGGCUACAGGCGCGCUACAAUGGCCAUUACAAAGAGAAGCGAUAUAGCAAUAUGGAGCAAAUCUCAUAAAGGUGGCCCCAGUUCAGAUUGAGGGCUGAAACUCGCCCUCAUGAAGCAGGAUUUGCUAGUAAUCCCAGAUCAGCAUGCUGGGGUGAAUGCGUUCCCGGGGUUUGUACACACCGCCCGU
rnacentral:rRNA from 1 species